rnacentral:rRNA from 1 species
AAUGNUUUGCCUAUCAUUACUGAUCCAUAGGUUAUGAGGCGACCGGGGGACUUAAUCAUCUAAGUACCCCGAGGAAAAGAAAUCAACCGAGAUUCCCUCAGUAGCGGCGAGCGAACGGGGAGGAGCCCAGAGCCUGAAUCAGUGUGUGUGUUAGUGGAAGCGUCUGGAAAGGCGUGCGAUACAGGGUGACAGCCCCGUACACAAAAAUGCACAUAUUGUGAGCUCGAUGAGUAGGGCGGGACACGUGGUAUCCUGUCUGAAUAUGGGGGGACCAUCCUCCAAGGUUAAAUACUCCUGACUGACCGAUAGUGAACCAGUACCGUGAGGGAAAGGCUAAAUUA